rnacentral:rRNA from 1 species
CGCGUAGGCGGUUCGUCGCGUCCGGUGUGAAAGUCCAUCGCUUAACGGUGGAUCCGCGCCGGGUACGGGCGGGCUUGAGUGCGGUAGGGGAGACUGGAAUUCCCGGUGUAACGGUGGAAUGUGUAGAUAUCGGGAAGAACACCAAUGGCGAAGGCAGGUCUCUGGGCCGUUACUGACGCUGAGGAGCGAAAGCGUGGGGAGCGAACA